GGGGGGUUACCUCUGCCAGCCCGCCAUCGGCCCUCAUCUGCUCCGAUCGGAGUUGAAAGGGGGCGUUUUUUGGCAAGGAACGACUGGAGAAGGCCUCGGUUUUACGGCGGAAGGAAAGGGGGCUAGGGUUCUUUUUCUUUUUUUUUUCUUUCUUUUCUGUUUAACUUUGUUUUAAAUUAAAAAGGUUGCUAAUUGGGUUUUAAUGGGGCAUUUAUGUGCAUUGAAAAACGACACCGUUUGAUAGCCCUCGACUCGCGCGGUGACCCGGCCCGGGGAAAGAUCCGCGCGUCUUGGGUCUGAUGAGCUUAUUGCACAACAUGUCCCUC
rnacentral:lncRNA from 1 species